GUUUGGCAGGAAGAUCAGCAUUAAGUAGCACAAGGCGGUGGUGUUGUGUCGAGAGUGCAACAGGGCACCAUGGGAGGCGACAGCACUGGAAACUGUCUCCUGGUGCCCAGCGGCUCAGUGAAACUUGCCCCCUGUCAUUUCUCCCACUGUUCCAUUUCACAGUCAUAUUCUGGAGGGGACGUGCUUCUGAGAGGC
rnacentral:lncRNA from 1 species